UACGGAGGGUGCGAGCGUUAAUCGGAAUUACUGGGCGUAAAGCGUGCGUAGACGGUUAUUUAAGUCGGAUGUGAAAGCCCCCGGCUCAACUGGGGAGGGUCACGCGAUACUGCUCGACUCGAAGGCAGGAGAGGGAAGCGGAAUUCCCGGUGUAGUGGUGAAAUGCGUAGAUAUCGGGAGGAACACCAGUGGCGAAGGCGGCUUCCUGGCCUGUUCUUGACGCUGAGGCGCGAAAGCUAGGGGAGCAAACGGGG
rnacentral:rRNA from 1 species